GAGUUUGAUCCUGGCUCACGAUGAACGCUGGCGGCGUGCUUAACACAUGCAAGUCGAGCGAAGCACUUAAGAAAGAUUCUUCGGAUGAAUUCUUUGGUGACUGAGCGGCGGACGGGUGAGUAACGCGUGGGUAACCUGCCUCAUACAGGGGGAUAACAGUUAGAAAUGACUGCUAAUACCGCAUAAGCGCACAGUGCUGCAUGGCACAGUGUGAAAAACUCCGGUGGUAUGAGAUGGACCCGCGUUGGAUUAGGCAGUUGGCGGGGUAACGGCCCACCAAACCGACGAUCCAUAGCCGGCCUGAUAGGGUGAACGGGCGCAUUGGGACUGAGACACGGCCCAAACUCCUACGGGAGGCAGCAGUGGGGAAUAUUGCACAUUGGGGGAAACCCUGAUGCAGCGACGCCGCGUGAGUGAAGAAGUAAUUCGUUAUGUAAAGCUCUAUCAGCAGGGAAGAAAAUGACGGUACCUGACUAAGAACCCCCGGCUAACUACGUGCCAGCAGCCGCGGUAAUACGUACGGGACAAGCGUUAUCCGGAUUUACUGGGUGUAAAGGGAGCGUACACGGCCCGUGCAGUCUGAUGUGAAACGCUGGGGCUCAACCCCGGGACUGCAUUGAAACUGUAUGGCUGGAGUGCCGGAGAGUAAGCGGAAUUCUUAGUGUAGCGGUGAAAUGCGUAGAUAUUAGGAGGCACACCAGUGGCGAAGGCGGCUUACUGGACGGUAACUGACGUUGAGGCUCGAAAGCGUGGGGAGCAAACAGGAUUAGAUACCCUGGUAGUCCACGCCGUAAACGAUGAUUACUAGGUGUUGGGGGACAUGGUCCUUCGGUGCCGCCGCAAACGCAGUAAGUAAUCCACCUGGGGAGUACGUUCGCAAGAAUGAAGCUCAAAGGAAUUGACGGGGACCCGCACAAGCGGUGGAGCAUGUGGUUUAAUUCGAAGCAACGCGAAGAACCUUACCAAGUCUUGACAUCGAGAGGACAGAGUAUGUAAUGUACUUUCCCUUCGGGGCCUCAAAGACAGGUGGUGCAUGGUUGUCGUCAGCUCGUGUCGUGAGAUGUUGGGUUAAGUCCCGCAACGAGCGCAACCCCUAUCUUCAGUAGCCAGCAAUUCGGAUGGGCACUCUGGAGAGACUGCCGGGGAUAACCCGGAGGAAGGCGGGGAUGACGUCAAAUCAUCAUGCCCCUUAUGACUUGGGCUACACACGUGCUACAAUGGCGUAAACAAAGGGAAGCGAGGGAGUGAUCCGGAGCAAAUCCCAAAAAUAACGUCUCAGUUCGGAUUGUAGUCUGCAACUCGACUACAUGAAGCUGGAAUCGCUAGUAAUCGCGAAUCAGCAUGUCGCGGUGAAUACGUUCCCGGGUCUUGUACACACCGCCCGUC
rnacentral:rRNA from 1 species